UAGUACCGGAAGCGUUGUUGACAGCGAUAGGAACACAUGAUGGAAGCAUAAGACAUGCCGGGGCGAUAUUAAACUGGCCAUUUGAGGCGACAACGGUGCCGGAGUUGAAAAGUUGGUUAAAAUGUAGGAAUGCCCGCACAUCAGGCAAAAAAGAAGAGCCAUUAAAAAGGUGAAAACUGUACAGUGAGGCUAGAGAGAGAAACAAAAUAUUGGAUCCAGACGGCAGAGAAAAUUAGAAGUAGACCUACCAGAUUGAAGUUUGAAUCAAGACCGUGGAGAAUGGACCAAGUCCUUGAAAGGAAUUCCCAAACCGUUUUUUUUUUAAAUAUUUGCCUAUUAAUAAAUACAAUUCAAUAUUUUGUUUCACAUUUUUAUUUUGCAUAAUAAAACCAAUGAUGUUGCCUUGGAAAUAUCUUUCCAAGGUACCUUACGAUAUUUCUGAUUCAUGUUUUAAAAUGCAAUGUUUUAAACAUUUUCUAGAUAUGUUCAAGUGCAUUGUGAUAAUAAAAAUGAGAUAUUUGGUAAAA